CCUACGGGUGGCUGCAGUGAGGAAUAUUCCGCAAUGGACGAAAGUCUGACGGAGCGACGCCGCGUGGAUGAAGAAGGCCGAAAGGUUGUAAAGUCCUUUUGUUGGGGAAGAAUAAGCGCGGGAGGGAAUGCCCGCGUGAUGACAUGAACCGACGAAUAAGCCCCGGCUAACUACGUGCCAGCAGCCGCGGUAACACGUAGGGGGCGAGCGUUGUUCGGAAUUACUGGGCGUAAAGGGCAUGUAGGCGGCCUUGUAAGCCUGGCGUGAAAGUCACCGGCUUAACCGGUGGAUUGCGUCGGGAACUGCAGGGCUUGAGUCACGGAGAGGGAGCUAGAAUUCCUGGUGUAGGGGUGAAAUCUGUAGAGAUCAGGAAGAAUACCAAUGGCGAAGGCAAGCUCCUGGCCGAUGACUGACGCUGAGGUACGAAAGUGUGGGGAUCAAACAGGAUUAGAUACCCCAGUAGUC
rnacentral:rRNA from 1 species